rnacentral:rRNA from 1 species
CCACACAGCCAUAUCACUCUGCAGCCCAAGACUGGUUACUCACUGAAGCUAAGCAGGGCUGAGCCUGGUCAUUACCUGGAUGGUAGCCCAUAUGGAAAAAACUAGAUUGCCAUUUGAA